rnacentral:rRNA from 1 species
UGGACAGGUGGUGCAUGGUUGUCGUCAGCUCGUGUCGUGAGAUGUUGGGUUAAGUCCCGCAACGAGCGCAACCCUCGACCUUAGUUGCCAGCAUUCAGUUGAGCACUCUAAGGUGACUGCCGGCUAAAAGUCGGAGGAAGGUGGGGAUGACGUCAAAUCAUCAUGCCCCUUAUGACCUGGGCUACACACGUGCUACAAUGGGCGGUACAAAGGGUCGCGAGCCCGCGAGGGGGAGCCAAUCCCAAAAAGCCGCUCUCAGUUCGGAUUGCAGGCUGCAACUCGCCUGCAUGAAGCCGGAAUCGCUAGUAAUCGCGGAUCAGCAUGCCGCGGUGAAUACGUUCCCGGGCCUU